UACGUAGGGCGCAAGCGUUGUUCGGAUUUACUGGGCGUAAAGCGCACGUAGGCGGAUCGUUAAGUCGGGGGUGAAAUCCUGGAGCUCAACUCCAGAACUGCCUUCAAUACUGGCGAUCUUGAGUCCGGAAGAGGUGAGUGGAACUCCUAGUGUAGAGGUGGAAUUCGUAGAUAUUAGGGAGAACACCAGUGGCGAAGGCGGCGAUCUGGGAAGUUACUGACGCUGAGAGGCGAAAGCGUGGGGAGCAAACAGG
rnacentral:rRNA from 1 species